rnacentral:rRNA from 1 species
CGUAGCGGCAGGCUUAACACAUGCAAGUCGAGGGGCAGGCACGGGUAGCAAUACCUGGUGGCGACCGGCGCAAGGGUGCGUAACGCGUGAGCAACAUGCCCUAUACAGGGGGAUAAUCCAGGGAAACUUGGUCUAAUAUCCCAUAGUAUUUAGAGGAGGCAUCUUCUAUAAAUUAAAGCUUCGGUGGUAUAGGAUUGGCUCGCGUGACAUUAGCUAGAUGGUGAGGUAACGGCUCACCAUGGCAAUGAUGUCUAGGGGUUCUGAGAGGAAGGCCCCCCACACUGGGACUGAGACACGGCCCAGACUCCUACGGGAGGCAGCAGUGAGGAAUAUUGGACAAUGGAUGGAAAUCUGAUCCAGCCAUGCCGCGUGCAGGAAGACAGCCCUAUGGGUUGUAAACUGCUUUUAUAUGGGAGCAAUAAGGUCUACGUGUAGACUGAUGAGAGUACCAUAUGAAUAAGCAUCGGCUAACUCCGUG